rnacentral:ncRNA from 1 species
UUUGAAUGCGAAGAGUCAAGCAAGAUUGAGCGGAACAGUGACCGCUCGAAGUGGAUAACUGCGCCACAGAAGCGGGUAGUUGUAUUGCUUGCGUGUGAUGCGAUGGAAUGCCCGCAUCACACUGCAACGCAGCCCGGGUUAAAAAAUGCUGGCAAAGACAUUCGAGAUACAACCUCGGGUGUCUUUU